CAGCGCUGCAUUCAAUCA
rnacentral:miRNA from 1 species